ACGAAGGCAGCAAUGUUCUAGAAAUAAACGUUUAGACAUGCUUGUUUGAUCCAAGAAAGACUUUUAUUUAUACUUCAAGGGGAGGGGUUAUUCACUGAUGUUUUGGAAACUCUGGAAAGCAGCUGAUACGCAAAGAAAAUAGAGCUUUUCUGCUAUCACUGUGCAGCUCUCGAAUAUCAAGGAAGCAAAAGUAUCCGGAAACAUGAUCGUCAAACUGUUAGGAGCAUGAAUACCACAGAAAACACCUGCCAAGGUGGUAUUCCUAAAACCCAGAUCUAACUGCGUUCUUCUUCUGCUUAAGAAACUUCAGUGGCUCCCUAUUACCUGUAGGAUUCAACUCAUGGUAAUCAGAGGACCUGGGUCAUAAUUCUAAUUCUACUCCUUACCAUUAGUGGGACCACUUCUCUAUGUUUCUAUUUCCUCACCUGUAAAAUGAGGUUUUUGGACUAGAAUCAUAGGUUUCCAAAGUGAGUGAUACCACCCCUUGGAACAAUCCAGUGGGCCAGUAGUAGCCUGGGGUGUAAUUGGGGGAGCAUUGAAUAAAAAUAAGGGGCAGU